rnacentral:ribozyme from 1 species
AAGAGAGAAGAGAAGAAACCUGGGAUAUUGACACCCUUUAAAACUUUGAUUUGUACUUUCAUUUUGUCUUUUUCUGUUUUCAUUAAUGAACUCCAAUUUUUCACCUUGGAGGGGAGGGCCAAGAAGAGUCUUGGGACUGAACAAGUGAAUUUCUGAACUGAAUCUCUUGUGUUCUUUUUGUUUGAGGAGAAGCAAUUGAGAAAAAAAAAAAAAAAAAAA